UACGUAGGGGGCAAGCGUUGUUCGGAUUUAUUGGGCGUAAAGAGCGUGUAGGCGGCCAGGUAGGUCCGUUGUGAAAACUCGAGGCUCAACCUCGAGACGCCGAUGGAAACCAUCUGACUAGAGUCCGGAAGAGGAGAGUGGAAUUCCUGGUGUAGCGGUGAAAUGCGCAGAUAUCAGGAAGAACACCCGUGGCGAAGGCGGCUCUCUGGGACGGUACUGACGCUGAGACACGAAAGCGUGGGGAGCAAACAGG
rnacentral:rRNA from 1 species